AACGAACGCUGGCGGCAUGCCUAACACAUGCAAGUCGAACGAGACCUUCGGGUCUAGUGGCGCACGGGUGCGUAACGCGUGGGAACCUGCCCUUAGGUUCGGAAUAACUCCCCGAAAGGGGUGCUAAUACCGGAUAAUGUCUUCGGACCAAAGAUUUAUCGCCUUUGGAUGGGCCCGCGUUGGAUUAGCUAGUUGGUAGGGUAAAAGCCUACCAAGGCGAGGAUCCAUAGCUGGUCUGAGAGGAUGAUCAGCCACACUGGGACUGAGACACGGCCCCGACUCCUACGGGAGGGAGGAAGGGGGGAUUUUGCAACAAGGGGGGAAGGCUUAAGCAAGUAGGCCCGGGGAAUGAUGGAAGUCUUAAGGUUGUAAAGUGUUUUUACCCGGGAAGAUAAUGACGGUACCCGGGAAAAAAGCCCCGGCUAACUUCGUG
rnacentral:rRNA from 1 species